rnacentral:rRNA from 1 species
GAUGAUCGCUGGCGGCGCGCCUAACACAUGCAAGUCGAACGGCACCCCUCUCCGGAGGGAAGCGAGUGGCGAACGGCUGAGUAACACGUGGAGAACCUGCCCCCUCCCCCGGGAUAGCCGCCCGAAAGGACGGGUAAUACCGGAUACCCCCGGGAGCCGCAUGGCUCCCGGGCUAAAGCCCCGACGGGAGGGGAUGGCUCCGCGGCCCAUCAGGUAGACGGCGGGGUGACGGCCCACCGUGCCGACAACGGGUAGCCGGGUUGAGGGACCGACCGGCCAGAUUGGGACUGGGACACGGCCCAGACUCCUACGGGAGGCAGCAGUGGGGAAUCUUGCGCAAUGGGGGGAACCCUGACGCAGCGACGCCGCGUGCGGGACGGAGGCCUUCGGGUCGUAAACCGCUUUCAGCAGGGAAGAGUCAAGACUGUACCUGCAGAAGGAGCCCCGGCUAACUACGUGCCAGCCGCCGCGGUAAUAC